GACAGUUUAGCUUAAUGGUAAAGCACUUGACGCGUAAUCACAGAGAUGUGGGUUCAAGUCUCAUAGCUGGCC
rnacentral:tRNA from 1 species